GACGAACGCUGGCGGCGUGCUUAACACAUGCAAGUCGAGCGGUAAGGCCCUUUCGGGGGUACACGAGCGGCGAACGGGUGAGUAACACGUGGGUGACCUGCCCUCAGCUCUGGGAUAAGCCUGGGAAACCGGGUCUAAUACUGGAUAUGACUCCAUGACGCAUGUUGUGGGGUGGAAAGUCUUGUGCGGCUGAGGAUGGGCCCGCGGCCUAUCAGCUUGUUGGUGGGGUGAUGGCCUACCAAGGCGACGACGGGUAGCCGGCCUGAGAGGGCGACCGGCCACACUGGGACUGAGACACGGCCCAGACUCCUACGGGAGGCAGCAGUGGGGAAUCUUGCGCAAUGGGCGAAAGCCUGACGCAGCGACGCCGCGUGAGGGAUGACGGCCU
rnacentral:rRNA from 1 species